rnacentral:rRNA from 1 species
UACGUAGGGGGCUAGCGUUGCUCGGAAUCACUGGGCGUAAAGCGCACGUAGGCGGCUUUUUAAGUCAGGGGUGAAAUCCUGGAGCUCAACUCCAGAACUGCCUUUGAUACUGAGAAGCUUGAGUCCGGGAGAGGUGAGUGGAACUGCGAGUGUAGAGGUGAAAUUCGUAGAUAUUCGCAAGAACACCAGUGGCGAAGGCGGCUCACUGGCCCGAUACUGACGCUGAGGCACGAAAGCGUGGGGAGCAAACAGG